CCCUAGCAACUAAAAGCCCAGAGCUGCCAGGCCGCCACUCGGUGAGAAAGAGGCCUGUGAGCUGACGCACCUCCUCACGGUCUCAUCAUCAGGCCUUCGGUUCCAGGAGGCAUUUGGGGUCAGGAAGAAAAAUCGUCUUCAGUAUGAAAGGUUGGAGAGUCCCAGCUGAGCUCAGGGAGUGUCAUCACUACAAUCAGCACUCACCCCCAUCCCCAUCAUGGGACCCCCUCAUGUGUCACCCGUGUCGGUGCCAUUGACAUCUAUUUCAUGUUCCUUUUCCAGUCCCAGCAAGCACUGGACCACCUGUCAGAAGUGGCAAGGAGUCUUCCUCGUCAAAGAGCAGGCUGGGUCACAGGUAUGGAGGCAGAGUGCUGGCUCGUGGGGAAACACAAGUGUCUGAGCCCUGAACCAGAGCUAGCAUUCACCUUGAGCAACAGCAGCGACAGGAGACCACGACAAAACCAUUUUUCUCGUCUCACUAUCCACACCCUUUGUGGUGGACUAAAUAAUGGCCCCCAAAUAUGUCCAUAUCCUUGUCCCAGAAACCUGGGAAAGUUACCUUCUAUGGCAAGCGGGAAUGUGCAGGUACGAUUACGGAUCUUAAAAUGGGACAAGUAUCCUGAAUUAUUCAGGUGCCUAUCUCGUAUACACCUCUCAUAAUCACAGCUGUCCUCAUAAGAGGGACGGGGGAAGGAAGAGAUGGGUCAGAAGAAGCAUAGGGUAGAGUGAUGCACUUUGAAGACAGAGGAAGGGGCCACAAGCUAAGGAAUACAGAUGACUUUAGAAACUAGAAAAAAAGAAAAACAAAAUAAAACAUUCUCCUCUAGAGCCUCCAGAUGGAACACUGCCUUCCCGACACCUUAAUUUUAGCCUUCUGACCCCCCGGCCCGUAAGAGAAUAGGUGUGUGCUAUUUGAAGUGGCUAAAAGUCUGUGGUCACUUGUGACAACAGCAUUAGGAAGCUAAGACACCCUCUGAGUACACCCUUCAAGUCGUUUGGUGAAUGAAUCCUGCCCUUUUCCAUGCGAUGGUUACUGACUGAGCUGAGGUUGCAUUUGCACAGUAUUCCUCCCAGCCAGCGUUAAAAUGAACUGAGUUUAACGUGAGUUCAGACAAAGGUCUCAUUUACAUGUGGCAUUCACUGUCCUCCCUAUGAUGACUUUUCACACUCUGGACCCAGGUUUAGGGAACAGUUUAAAAAGGAAAAACAUC